rnacentral:rRNA from 2 species
GCUCAGAUUGAACGCUGGCGGCAUGCUUUACACAUGCAAGUCGAACGGUAACAGGUCUUCGGAUGCUGACGAGUGGCGAACGGGUGAGUAAUACAUCGGAACGUGCCUAGUAGUGGGGGAUAACUACUCGAAAGAGUAGCUAAUACCGCAUGAGAUCUACGGAUGAAAGCAGGGGACCUUCGGGCCUUGUGCUACUAGAGCGGCUGAUGGCAGAUUAGGUAGUUGGUGGGGUAAAGGCUUACCAAGCCUGCGAUCUGUAGCUGGUCUGAGAGGACGACCAGCCACACUGGGACUGAGACACGGCCCAGACUCCUACGGGAGGCAGCAGUGGGGAAUUUUGGACAAUGGGCGAAAGCCUGAUCCAGCAAUGCCGCGUGCAGGAUGAAGGCCCUCGGGUUGUAAACUGCUUUUGUACGGAACGAAAAGCCUGGGGCUAAUAUCCCCGGGUCAUGACGGUACCGUAAGAAUAAGCACCGGCUAACUACGUGCCAGCAGCCGCGGUAAUACGUAGGGUGCAAGCGUUAAUCGGAAUUACUGGGCGUAAAGCGUGCGCAGGCGGUUUUGUAAGACAGUGGUGAAAUCCCCGGGCUCAACCUGGGAACUGCCAUUGUGACUGCAAGGCUAGAGUGCGGCAGAGGGGGAUGGAAUUCCGCGUGUAGCAGUGAAAUGCGUAGAUAUGCGGAGGAACACCGAUGGCGAAGGCAAUCCCCUGGGCCUGCACUGACGCUC